AGGAUCAUUAUCAUGUAAAUUCAGUCAUGCUUGCUGCGUGAGNGCNNUACACCCACCCUGCGUACACAUCUCCUGUUGCUUNNNNNNNGCCCAGAUGAGAAUCUGCCCGGCGGGAGGGUAGAAAAUAACCUCCGAGUCAUACUUUAUAGAAUCUGUCUGAACAAAUGAAGAAACCAAAUGAAAUGUUAAAACUUUCAGCAACGGAUCUCUUGGUUCUCGCAUCGAUGAAGAACGCAGCGAAAUGCGAUAAGUAGUGUGAAUUGCAGAAUUCAGUGAAUCAUCGAAUCUUUGAACGCACAUUGCGCCUCCUGGCAUUCCGGGAGGCAUGCCUGUUCGAGAGUCAUUUACAACCACAUCGAACCCCCCAGUUUCAGUCCUCGAGGGUUCUCGGGGGGGUUUCGGUUCUGGAGGAGGAGGAACGAGAGUUGCCUUGCAGAGAGCGCCCAUCCUGCCCACCAAAAUUCAGCGAGUUCAGCGGUGACCGCUGCGUUGUCUUGGUGGGUGAAUAGUUGGCCUGCUAAGAUAGGCAAAUCGCCUCCCCUCCGAAAUUCAUAAGCGGUCUGUGUUCAAAAACCCACAUGUUUUACGGGCGUUGUAGAGGCGGCCCCUCACAAUCUUGGAGGAGCCACUUUUCGCGAGUAUAAUAGUGCAGGUUUUGGUACCAGCCGUGC
rnacentral:rRNA from 1 species